GCACCCUACUUUAAUUCUUAUCAAGAGUUUACUUGAUGAUAUUAUCAUUAACAGUAGCAGUUUUGCUGCACCCCAGGAGGGGCCUGUGACAAAAAGUAGAAUUGUUAACAUAUUUUCAUCUGAUUUGCUUUAGCAGCAACAACAGCCUCGAAAGCAAGGUUAGUUGGAAUAAUGACAUUCAGUUGUGGCACUUCUUGGGAAAUUCACAAGAAAGUGGAGAGAAUGGCCUGAAGCGAACACGUUAGCUUAUUCUCAACCUCGUGCUGCCAUUACUAGAGCAGAGCUGCACCCUCCAUUUGGGAGCUGGCACCUCCCCACAGAUUUGCAUGUAAUGGAAGAGUAGUUGUGACGUUUUCUCACAGAAGGCUUUGCUUUCACCGUGCCAUUGCCUAACCCGAGUCAGAAAUGUGUCAUGUAAGGAUUCAUUUGCAUAUUUUAAAAAUUAGUGCUGCUUUUACACUGUUGCCAUGGGACAGCUAUGGCAGGAAAUGAGCAGAACACCCACAUAAUUAUUGUUGACAGAACACAGUUCCGAUUUUAUCAAGUAUGAUCCCUACGUGAUACGUUGUUAAGGCAGUCAUCAACAUCCCAAUGAAUGAAACACUGCUUUGCAAAGUAUGCAGCACCCAAAAGAAACGUACAAUUGUUACGCUUGAAAAACAGAAGAAGUGAAACACAACUGCUUGACUGGGAUGAUAGGAGAGUCAUUAUUGCUAAGUCUCUGAAGAACAAUUAGAGUUGUUUUUUAUUAAAUUUGCGUGUUAUGAUUGACACUGAAGCUGAAUGAAUCAAUAUGUAAAUCCAGAUUACCCCGACCUAAGAAGAUGUUGAGAAAGAUGGCACUUUACAAAACAGUCUGUGGAAAAACUGCGGCGUUGAGCCAGAAACUCAAAUGUAUCAUUUUGGAAACGGCUUUGCUUUUGUUCUUUUUUUAAUCAGCUUAUCUACUAUUUAAAUUCAAUUUCAGAGGAUCGUGUAAUUAAAAAGCGGGAUAUAAUUUAUCAUUUGUAGAGAUUGCAUCCAUUAUAUAUCUAAAUAAUAGAGGUUAUUUAUAGCAGUCUUGUAACAACCUUAGAGAGUUUUACCCAUUAAUCAAUAACAAUGGAAAGAUGUCACAGUAUAAAACUGAAUCAGGUAUAACAAUAUUCCAAUUGCCAGAGUAUAAAUGGCUGAAAUACAUAAUUCUUUCUCCUUAUUGCCAUGGUAAGUUAUUUCAGUGAUUAAAAGGAAAUCUAUUUCAGGUGGGUUUUAAUGAAAAUAGUAACACAUUUGUAUGCAUUGGAUAACAAUAUGGAAUAGUCCUAGUCCCUAAACAAAGGGACUAUCAAAUAAAUAAUAACUUGUUGAAAGGUGAUGCUGCAGUAAAUGAAAAACGUCACUUUUCUUAAUUUGUAUGAAAUUAAGGAGUUCAUGAAACAUUUUUUUUAACAAAAUGAACCUACACUGUUUAUCGAUUUCCACAUGCGUGUUUUAAAAAGAGGGAAUGAGAAGGUGUGACAUAUGUAUAAAUGCAUGAAAUUGCUGAAUAGUGUUUUGCAACCUGCUGACCUGUAAAGUAAGCUGAGGCACCAAGUCUAUUUUGGUCUUUUCUGUGGAAGGCCACCUACAUAGACUCUGGAGGAAUGAAGAAUAUGUGAAGGCUGAAAGAAGCAUCUGUUCUUUAAUACCUUGGCUCAGACCGGGGUGGAUACAGGUGCAUAACAGGAGACUGGAAAACCACGGACAGACCUGAGCCCAGCACAGGAAGAGAAAAGACAGAUGCAGAGGAUUGGCAAGAGGUCACGUUUUCUAGGCUUGUAAUGGAAAGCUGGAAGAAACAGAAAAGAAGUCGGAUAUUGGGAAACGUGUGAUGAGGUAUGUACACUGUAAGAAAAAUGAUGAAACCUGGUCAGCCCUCAGUUAUCUCCUGCUCCUGGAGACAGAAGGUUACCAAAAUCUUAAAUUCUUUUGCAAAGGAGUCUUUGAAAAAGGAACAGUGCGAAGAGAUUGCUCUGCCUGGCAAAAGCUCAUUUUGAAAGAAGGCUGAAACCUCAGUGAGUUAUGAGCCUGCUGAGAAAAUACCACCUCAGGAAAGGCUGGGCAGAAGACACUAAAAUUGAAUCUUGUCUGGAGUUUUGUGUGGACAUUGCUAUUGAGGGG
ensembl:lncRNA